AGGGAGCUACCACAUCACAAAAAAGUAUCAAAGUGGAAAAUUAGCCUCAGAAUGAUUUCAACGGACAAGAGCAGUUCCCACUACAGACGCGGAUAAUCGCUUAGGAAUCCACUAAUGGAGCAUGUGCAUGUCGAACAUGUAUUUAUCAAGUUGGCUUUCGAUGGGAAAGGAAACGACAAUCAGCCUCUUUGGGAUUGAUGAAGACAGUGGUGACGUGGACGAGCAAGUUUCAACACUGCUCACCGCUGCCCAGUGAUCUGAUGACACGGCCUGUCCUCUGGCCCACAAAGCAGCCGUUGUCUUGCUGCUCCACACUUCCAUCAUCUGUGCACAAAAGGAACUGUCUUUGACAUCUCGCUGGGUCACCUCCUAUUGGCUUGUAUUCAAGUGUGACAGAUGCAUGUUACCAUAUUUUUCAAGGGGGUGUGGGGGUUAUAAAUGUCGUCAAAGUGUCAAGCACAAAAGAGCAGAGUUGACAUCAACUUACCUUUGUCACCUAGCUCUGCACCUCUGUCAAGGGGGAUAAUCGGCGGUGAAGUCUGGAUGCCCGAUUUGUACCGCAAAAGAAGCACAAGGCGAAAAACUGCCCUUUGGGAUUAAUGGGAGAGGAGAAUUCAGUCCGAUGAGGAGCAGCAACUCAUCACGCAGCCAUUAAUGUAAAAACUGCCAUGUUGACAUGACUCAAAAUUUGAUUAAAAGUAAUUUACUUGAAAA